GAUGAACGCUGGCGGCGUGCCUAAUACAUGCAAGUCGAGCGAACGGACGAGAAGCUUGCUUCUCUGAUGUUAGCGGCGGACGGGUGAGUAACACGUGGAUAACCUACCUAUAAGACUGGGAUAACUUCGGGAAACCGGAGCUAAUACCGGAUAAUAUUUUGAACCGCAUGGUUCAAAAGUGAAAGACGGUCUUGCUGUCACUUAUAGAUGGAUCCGCGCUGCAUUAGCUAGUUGGUAAGGUAACGGCUUACCAAGGCAACGAUGCAUAGCCGACCUGAGAGGGGGAUCCGCCACACUGGAACUGAGACACGGUCCAGACCCCUAAGGGAGGCAGCCGUAGGGAAUCUUCCGCAAUGGGCGAAAGCCUGACGGAGCAAAGCCGCGUGAGUGAUGAAGGUCUUCGGAUCGUAAAACUCUGUUAUUAGGGAAGAACAUAUGUGUAAGUAACUGUGCACAUCUUGACGGUACCUAAUCAGAAAGCCACGGCUAACUACGUG
rnacentral:rRNA from 1 species